GUCCCCCCCCCUUUGUAUUUAGGGCCCCCACCCACCGCUCAGGGGUGGGGGCCGGGGGGGGGGGACAGUAGGUCCCCCCCCCUUAUUGAUAAUUUUAGGGCCCCCACCCGCCGCACAGGGGUGGGGGCCGGGGGGGGGACAGU